GGGGAAAACCGGGAGACUUGCCCAGGUGGGAGAGUUGAACCACCUUUCAAAAUCGUAUUUGAAUUUAACGCGAACGAAACGUCAAAGCGUCCAUUGGUCGCACUCAAGAGGCCAAUCAUAAGUAUGCAGCCAUUUUGCAUCUUAGUGGUGUGGUUCGUCAGUCACAAUGUAAAACGUGUUUUUGUUGCUGCGGAGUGUCUUUUCUUGUUUUAAGUAGUUUUAUGAUUGCUGUCAUAUUUAUUGAGUGCCAACUUGUACGAUGCCUUUUCAAUACAAGCCUCCUGAAAAUGCUCGCAAACGAAAAAAACUCACAAAAAUGGAAUUGCAAAAUGCCAUAGAUGAAAUUAAGGGAGGCGCUUCUAUUCGACAAACUUCAAAUAAAUAUGGCAUAGAUAGAACUACUUUGAGGCGAUAUAAAUUAGAUGAAGAUAAAAUUAAUAAAUUUGCAGAAAAAAACAGUCAAUAUAAUCAUCAUCACAGGUGUUUACAACGGCCGAGGAAAAGCUUCUAGUCAAUUAUUUGUUGACAUGCAGUAAAAUGCAUUAUGGUUUGACAAGAAAACAAGCAAUGCAGUUGGCUGGUUAGAAGAUAGUUAAUUGUUUUAAUAAAAGUUAAUAUAGACUGAUUUAUUACAAAGAUUAUAAUAAUAUUAUCAG